rnacentral:rRNA from 1 species
UGGGGAAUCUUGGACAAUGGGGGCAACCCUGAUCCAGCGAUGCCGCGUGAGUGAUGAAGGCCUUAGGGUUGUAAAACUCUUUCAGUAGGGAAGAUAAUGACGGUACCUACAGAAGAAGUUCCGGCUAACUCCGUGCCAGCAGCCGCGGUAAUACGGAGGGAACUAGCGUUGUUCGGAAUUACUGGGCGUAAAGCGCGCGUAGGCGGACUGAUCAGUCAGGGGUGAAAUCCCGGGGCUCAACCCCGGAACUGCCUCCAAAACUAUUGGUCUAGAGUUCGAGAGAGGUGAGUGGAAUUCCAAGUGUAGAGGUGAAAUUCGUAGAUAUUUGGAGGAACACCAGUGGCGAAGGCGGCUCACUGGCUCGAUACUGACGCUGAGGUGCGAAAGUGUGGGGAGCAAACAGGAUUAGAUACCCUGGUAGUCCACACCGUAAACGAUGAAUGCCAGUCGUCGGGUAGCAUGCUAUUCGGUGACACACCUAACGGAUUAAGCAUUCCGCCUGGGAGUACGGUCGCAAGAUUAAAAGCUCAAA